rnacentral:rRNA from 1 species
GACGAACGUUAGCGGCGUGCUUAACACAUGCAAGUCGAACGGAAAGGCCCUGCUUUUGUGGGGUGCUCGAGUGGCGAACGGGUGAGUAACACGUGAGUAACCUGCCCUUGACUUUGGGAUAACUUCAGGAAACAGGGGCUAAUACCGGAUAGGAGCUCCUGCUGCAUGGUGGGGGUUGGAAAGUUUCGGCGGUUGGGGAUGGACUCGCGGCUUAUCAGCUUGUUGGUGGGGUAGUGGCUUACCAAGGCUUUGACGGGUAGCCGGCCUGAGAGGGUGACCGGCCACAUUGGGACUGAGAUACGGCCCAGACUCCUACGGGAGGCAGCAGUGGGGAAUAUUGCACAAUGGGCGGAAGCCUGAUGCAGCAACGCCGCGUGCGGGAUGACGGCCUUCGGGUUGUAAACCGCUUUCGCCUGUGACGAAGCGUGAGUGACGGUAAUGGGUAAAGAAGCACCGGCUAACUACGUGCCAGCAGCCGCGGUGAUACGUAGGGUGCGAGCGUUGUCCGGAUUUAUUGGGCGUAAAGGGCUCGUAGGUGGUUGAUCGCGUCGGAAGUGUAAUCUUGGGGCUUAACCCUGAGCGUGCUUUCGAUACGGGUUGACUUGAGGAAGGUAGGGGAGAAUGGAAUUCCUGGUGGAGCGGUGGAAUGCGCAGAUAUCAGGAGGAACACCAGUGGCGAAGGCGGUUCUCUGGGCCUUUCCUGACGCUGAGGAGCGAAAGCGUGGGGAGCGAACAGGCUUAGAUACCCUGGUAGUCCACGCUGUAAACGGUGGGUACUAGGUGUGGGGUCCAUUCCACGGGUUCCGUGCCGUAGCUAACGCUUUAAGUACCCCGCCUGGGGAGUACGGCCGCAAGGCUAAAACUCAAAGGAAUUGACGGGGCCCCGCACAAGCGGCGGAGCAUGCGGAUUAAUUCGAUGCAACGCGUAGAACCUUACCUGGGUUUGACAUGGAUCGGGAGUGCUCAGAGAUGGGUGUGCCUCUUUUGGGGUCGGUUCACAGGUGGUGCAUGGCUGUCGUCAGCUCGUGUCGUGAGAUGUUGGGUUAAGUCCCGCAACGAGCGCAACCCUUGUUCACUGUUGCCAGCACGUUAUGGUGGGGACUCAGUGGAGACCGCCGGGGUCAACUCGGAGGAAGGUGGGGAUGACGUCAAGUCAUCAUGCCCCUUAUGUCCAGGGCUUCACGCAUGCUACAAUGGCUGGUACAGAGAGUGGCGAGCCUGUGAGGGUGAGCGAAUCUCGGAAAGCCGGUCUCAGUUCGGAUUGGGGUCUGCAACUCGACCUCAUGAAGUCGGAGUCGCUAGUAAUCGCAGAUCAGCAACGCUGCGGUGAAUACGUUCCCGGGGCU